GCUGGGCAUUCGCGCUUGCCUGUUAGUCCUUCCCGUAGGUGCUGAGUGCGCCUGCGCUCUGGGGGUUCCAUUCUUACCCAGCUCCAGCAGCAGCAUUGGGGUGGAGGAGGAGAGGAGCAGCAGCCAUGCACUGCAGUAGGAGCAGCGGGAAUUAAGCGGGAUCUGCUGCUCCCAUUCUACUGCAUGCACCCUCCGUAACGUACACGAGUCCAGUUUUACUUGCACCCCCCAUCUGCUCUUCCAGCAGCUCCAGAUGGGCAUAUGAGGUCCUCCAGGGAUCUGUCCUGGGUCUGGUUCUAUUCAAUAUCUUCAUCAAUGAUUCGGAUAAUGGAGAGUACACUUAUAAAGUUUGCGGACGAUACCAAGCUGGGAUGGGCUGCAAGUGCUGUGGAGGAUCCAGUGAUGGUGGAAAACUGGAGAAAUGGUGUGAAAUAAAGAGGAUGAAAUUCAGUAAAGACAAAUGUAAAAUACUACACUUGGGAAAGAAUAAUCAAUUGCAUAAAUACAAAAUGGGAAAUUACUGCUUAGGAAGGAGUACUGCAGAAAAGGAUCUGUGGGCUAUAGUGGACCCCAACCAGCUAUGAGUGAACAAUGUAAUACUGUUACAAAAAAACAAACCUGAUUUUGGGAUGUAUUAGCAGGAAGGUUGUAAACAAGACUUGAGAAGUAGUUGUUUCGCUAUACUCAACAAUUUUAAGGCUUCAGUUGGAGUACUGUGUCCAGUUCUGGGCACCACAAGUCCGAGAGGAGAGCAACAAAAAUUAUUAAGGGUCUAGAAAACAUGGUCUACAAGGAAAGAUUGAAAAAAAUUGGGUUUGUUUAGUCUGGAGAAGAGAAGCCUGAGGGAUGACAUACCAGUCUUCAAGUCCUAAAAGGAUGUUAUAAAGAGGAGGUGAUAAAUUUGUUCUCUUUGUGCUGUGAGGGCAGGCCAAGAAGCAAUGGGCUUAAAUUUCAGCAAGCGAGAUUUGGUUAGACAUUAGGAAAAACUUCCUAACUAUAAGGGUAGUUAAGCACUAGAAUAAAUCGCCUAGGGAGGUGGUGGAAUCUCUAUCAUUGGAGGAUUUUAAGAGCUGGUUAGACAAACACCUAUCAGGGAUGGUCUAAAUCAGGGGUUCUCAGGACAAAUUUUUUAAUGGUCUCAGAAUGGGCCACCAGCUCUUGCUGGUGGCCAUUCUCACACUUAAUUAGCUUUAGGAAAACCUAAAAUACUUCAUUAGCUUUAGGAAAACCAAAUAAAUAUGCACAUAUACAUGUCCA